rnacentral:lncRNA from 1 species
UUGAUUUUAGCUAGUAAUGGAUGUUGGGGUGCGGUGAUGAGCUUUGGAGGUGGUGAAUAGGUGAAAAUCACCUGAAAAUUUGAUGGGUAUCGUCAGAAAACUCCAUUGGUUCGAAACCGGGUUGUUGUAGGUGUACGGGUUGGAUUGGUUGGGUGCUCUGCACCUCUAUCCUUUCCCUUCCUUUCCUUCUCUAUGGUUGGUCACUCUCUCUUUCUCUUCUUUCUGAUUGGGUGUCUCGCCCCUCCUUUCCCUUUUUUAUUUUUCAUCUCCACCGGCAAUCCUUUCUUCCUUUUAAUCUGGGCCACACACGUGGCUUCCAGAUUUUGCUCCAACAUUCUGGAGCUUUCUUGAAAUUAAUUAAUUUAUUAAAAUGCCCCCAAAUUUAAACGUUAAUAACUUAUUUGUUAUAACUCCAAAUUGCGUUCCGUUUGCACCUAUGUGUCUAUAGCGAUGAGUACUACAAGAAUACGCCAAGAAAACAAACCUUAUGUGACAUAACGCUGUAGUCAACAAAAGUCAACACUUUGCCUCGAAGGGCAUUUUAGUAAAUUCACUUAUUAAAAUUAUAUAAACCGUAAAAUUGGAAACAGGUCAUUACAAUGUUGAUGCUUAAUAGAGAGUGAGUCCACUGAACAUGAUCAAUAAGGAGUUCUCAUACUCAUGUCCCAUGAGAACUCAUGGUUGGGAUAAUGUAAACUAAUCCUUUGACCUGAGACACUAUAGUUGUCUUGUGGUUAGGCCAUUAGUCUUUUGUUGUGUUAAAGGCACUCCAUUUGAGAGUUUCCAUUGCAUAGUUAGGGCUAAGCUACUUAAUUACGGGAUAUGUGAAUGUGCAACAGAGGAUCACUAACCUUCAAACUGUUGAGGGAGAAAAUUCUAUGAUAUGAUUAAGAAUCUGUUGCUAGAGUAUGAAUGAGAUUUAAGAAGUUGUUCCAAAUCACAUUCAAGGUAUAAGUAAGAGAAUCAAGUUGGAUAAUAGACAUGAACAAACUACCAAACCAAAAAAUGUGAUCAAGAGCAUUGGUCUAGAGAAAGGCCGUAUUGCAUUGUAAUCCCAAACCGAAUAGGUUCUCCAACCUCUUCUGAUUAGCUUUGGUAGCCAUGACAUGCUGUUAGGUGUCAUUCAUGGUUUAUGAAGGCUUUGAAGAUGAAUAAUCACCAAAGGGAUAAUUGAAAGUUUCAAUCCAUAAUCCAUUAGUAAGAGUUAUAAUCGCCCACUGCAUCAUUACAAGGACAUAAUGGACCGCACAUCAUGUAAGGUAAUGAUUGAAUGAUAUGACGAAGAUGAGUAAGGACAAUUAAAUAAUUUAACUGUAUAAGGCAAGGAUUAAAAAAUAUGUUAGUUUCGGGUUUCAGGGUCCAAAAUGAGUUUUGGUCCACAAUGCCUAUUGAGUUUAAGUUGUAUGACAACUAAAACAAAAUGCAAAUUAACAUAAAAAAAAAAAGGAAUCCAAAACCGGCCACAUGAGAGGGAGGUCCGUUUUGUCCCUUAAAGGAAGUGCCUAUUAUAUUUCACUUAAGUCACUUAAAGGAAGUGCCUAUGUAAAAGGCAUUAUAACCUCAUCCCUCAUUAGGGUUUUGUAAGAGACAAAGAAAGAAAAACCCAAAGCUAUCUCCUUCUUCUAGGAGGCCAACUACCAUGGGAGUUUUAGCUAGCAAUCUUUGCUUCCAUGGUCACUCAUCUCCUUUCUCUACCAUCCUUGGUGUUGAAACUUAGAGGCUCUCCACUUUGGGGGAUUUUGGAGAAUCCUUUUCUUCCAUCCAAUCUAAGAUGACAUGGAGCCAAGAAACAAAGUUCCUCCAUCCAUAUCCAUGGAGACAAAGGAAUGAAAGCCUUCUCAAGGUUGAUUAGCCUUUGCUAAGCAAAGAAGUAUAGUUGUAUUCCCUUCAAGUGCAAAUAUAAGGAUGGUAUAAUGGCACAAGUAAGGGUGUCGAACCACAGAGAUUGAUUAGACCUAUACAAAUUACUAGCUUUAUGUGAACCCUAACUAAACAAUGAAAAUGAAAACUGAAUUUAGAUUUUUCAAUUGAAAACUAAAAUAACUUUAAAAUGCAACAAAGAUAAAGAUAAAUGAUAGGUUGAUUCAGAAAUAAUGGGAAUGGAACUAGGGAUAUCGAUUUCACCAUUACAAGCCAGUUCCAAAUUAAGUCAAAAUGCAUUCAACUCUCCAAUCUGCAACUAGGGUUCAUUUUACUCAUUUAUGAUCAUCCAUUUAAUGUGUGGUUGUGAUCAAGUACUCCUAAUCUGAAACCUAGUUGUGAUGUUCAACUUAGAUUACCAAAUAAGAAUCCAUUAAGAACAAGAAAACUUUAAAGAACCAAAAAAAUCACAUGGAAGGAUGUAUGCGUAGUAGUUUCUUCAUUCAUUCACAUAUCCACCAUGAUUAAGCAUGAUGUGUACUAUAACCUUGAUCAAAUAAUAUGUAAGAAACCCUAAUGGUGAUCAAACAUUAAGAUAAACAAACAAAUUAAACUAUAAAAUCAGUGAAUGAAACAAGAAAACAGAUUGAUGAAUCGAAUACUUUAACUUGAUAACAUAGAAUAGUUUACAAGGCUACAUCGAAUUCCCUACCUAUAAACUUAAUACACAUCAUGAUCACAGAAAAAUAUAAAUAAAAAGCGCAACAUGAGUGAAAUUAAAUUCACAGAAGAAACCCCUUGAAGCAAUUCUGAUGUGGAAAUCCUUCUAGAACAGCACGGCUGCGUGGUUUCUUCGAUCACAGCGGAUGGUGAAGGGAAAUAGGGUUUUGUUUCUGGAAUAAAGGCCAAAGAAAUAGAAGAGAGAGAGCUCUGGGCGUCCCCCAAGGGGGGCUUAUGUACAAGUGAUUUGAAACCAUAGUAUUUAUAUGCUAAAUAGGGUUGCAGCUGAUUGCAAGAUGAUCCCAACCAUUAAGCCAAGGUUUUGAACAUUUUUCCUUAUUUGGCUCUUCCAAAUCAGGCUAGAUAUUCCAAUUCCUUUCCCAUUCUGCUCUUGGUCUUCUAACCAGCUUGAUUCACUUUGGAUUCUUUAUUUGGGCUUCAAAACAAGCCACUAAACUUCUUUCCACAUUUGAAUAAGGGUCAACCCAAAAAAAAGGCAUGUUUUGACUUCAAAUUGAUCCUAAAAUGCAUGUAACUAGACACUAAUACAAAAUAGGAUGAAACGCAACCGGUUUUACUCUAAAACGUCACAAUUAGACUAGGAAUGGAUGGUAUAAAUGCAUGAAAUGUAUGAGUUAUCAAGUAUUUCAAGGGUAUAAAAUUUCUCAACUCUCUUUGUGAUUAGAGCUAAGUCUUUGUUCACCACCACUACUAGGCUUUGGAUUUUGUGGUUUAAGUUUUAUUUUAAAGUGCAUACAAGCAUGCUUUCACCAUUUAAUUGUUAAAUGAAUGUAUUAUGUUGCUUAAUGAACUUAAUUUCUCAAAUAUUUUUCUUCAUUGUUAAUAUCAGAUCCUUUUUAAGAUUCAUUAUAAUCAAUAGGAUGGAGCUCAUUUUCGGUGUUCAAAUACUUAGUAGAAGGUGUUAGAAUUUAAUUGGGUAUUUCAAAAUACAAUUCUUCAUUGGUCACUUUAAUAUUAUUCAAUCUGUUUUUAAAUUCCUAAUUUCAGUUUUGAUUUGUAAAACUGAAAAAUGAUGCAUUAUAACGUUGAGGUAUAAUGAAUGGUUUUGAGUUACAAUUAAUGGACUUUGA